rnacentral:rRNA from 1 species
AGAGUUUGAUCAUGGCUCAGAUUGAACGCUGGCGGCAGGCUUAACACAUGCAAGUCGAACGGUAACAGAACUAGCUUGCUAGUUGCUGACGAGUGGCGGACGGGUGAGUAACGCGUAGGAAUCUACCGAAUAGUGGGGGACAACAGUUGGAAACGGCUGCUAAUACCGCAUACGCCCUACGGGGGAAAGGAGGGGAUCUUCGGACCUUUCGCUAUUUGAUGANCCUGCGUGAGAUUAGUUAGUUGGUGGGGUAAUGGCUCACCAAGGCGACGAUCUCUAGCUGGUCUGAGAGGAUGAUCANCCACACUGGGACUGAGACACGGCCCAGACUCCUNCGNCAGCCACCAGUGGGGAAUAUUGCACAAUGGGGGAAACCCUGAUGCAGCCAUGCCGCGUGUGUGAAGAAG